rnacentral:rRNA from 1 species
AACGAACGCUGGCGGCAGGCCUAACACAUGCAAGUCGAACGCUGCAGCAAUGCAGAGUGGCAGACGGGUGAGUAACACGUGGGAAUCUUCCUAUCGGUACGGAAUAGCUCAGGGAAACUUGGGGUAAUACCGUAUACGCCCUUUGGGGGAAAGAUUUAUCGCCGAUAGAUGAGCCCGCGUCUGAUUAGCUAGUUGGUGAGGUAAUGGCUCACCAAGGCGACGAUCAGUAGCUGGUCUGAGAGGAUGACCAGCCACACUGGGACUGAGACACGGCCCAGACUCCUACGGGAGGCAGCAGUGGGGAAUAUUGGACAAUGGGCGCAAGCCUGAUCCAGCCAUGCCGCGUGAGUGACGAAGGUCUUCGGAUUGUAAAGCUCUUUUGGCGGGGACGAUAAUGACGGUACCCGCAGAAUAAGCCCCGGCUAACUUCGUGCCAGCCGCCGCCGUAA